UACGUAGGGAGCGAGCGUUGUCCGGAUUCAUUGGGCGUAAAGAGCUCGUAGGCGGCUUGAUAAGUCGGAUGUGAAACCUCCAGGCUCAACCUGGAGUCGCCAUCCGAUACUGUCAUGGCUAGAGUCCGGUAGGGGCCCACGGAACUCCUGGUGUAGCGGUGAAAUGCGCAGAUAUCAGGAAGAACACCGGUGGCGAAGGCGGUGGGCUGGGCCGGCACUGACGCUGGAGGAGCGAAAGCGUGGGGAGCGAACAGG
rnacentral:rRNA from 1 species